rnacentral:rRNA from 1 species
GAGUUUGAUCCUGGCUCAGGAUGAACGCUAGCGGCAGGCUUAACACAUGCAAGUCGAGGGGUAACGGGGAAGCUUGCUUCCGCCGACGACCGGCGCACGGGUGCGUAACGCGUAUACAAUCUACCUUAUACUGGGGUAUAGCCUUUAGAAAUGAAGAUUAACCCCCCAUAGUCUCUUAGAGUGGCAUCACUUCUAGAGUAAAGGUUACGGUAUAAGAUGAGUAUGCGUUCUAUUAGUUUGUUGGUGUGGUAACGGCACACCAAGACUACGAUAGAUAGGGGCCCUGAGAGGGGGAUCCCCCACACUGGUACUGAGACACGGACCAGACUCCUACGGGAGGCAGCAGUGAGGAAUAUUGGACAAUGGAGGCAACUCUGAUCCAGCCAUGCCGCGUGCAGGAAGACUGCCCUAUGGGUUGUAAACUGCUUUUAUACAGGAAGAAACACCUCUACGUGUAGAGGCUUGACGGUACUGUAAGAAUAAGGAUCGGCUAACUCCGUGCCAGCAGCCGCGGUAAUACGGAGGAUCCAAGCGUUAUCCGGAAUCAUUGGGUUUAAAGGGUCCGUAGGUGGAUAAUUAAGUCAGAGGUGAAAUCUUGCAGCUCAACUGUAAAAUUGCCUUUGAAACUGGUUAUCUUGAGUUAUUAUGAAGUAGUUAGAAUAUGUAGUGUAGCGGUGAAAUGCAUAGAUAUUACAUAGAAUACCAAUUGCGAAGGCAGAUUACUAAUAAUCAACUGACACUGAUGGACGAAAGCGUGGGUAGCGAACAGGAUUAGAUACCCUGGUAGUCCACGCCGUAAACGAUGGUUACUAGCUGUUUGGACUUCGGUCUGAGUGGCUAAGCGAAAGUGAUAAGUAACCCACCUGGGGAGUACGUUCGCAAGAAUGAAACUCAAAGGAAUUGACGGGGGCCCGCACAAGCGGUGGAGCAUGUGGUUUAAUUCGAUGAUACGCGAGGAACCUUACCAGGGCUUAAAUGUAGGUUGCAUUAGCUAGAGAUAGCUAUUUCUUCGGACUACUUACAAGGUGCUGCAUGGUUGUCGUCAGCUCGUGCCGUGAGGUGUCAGGUUAAGUCCUAUAACGAGCGCAACCCCUGUUGUUAGUUGCCAGCGAGUCAUGUCGGGAACUCUAGCAAGACUGCCAGUGCAAACUGUGAGGAAGGUGGGGAUGACGUCAAAUCAUCACGGCCCUUACGUCCUGGGCUACACACGUGCUACAAUGGUAGGUACAGAGAGCAGCCACUGCGCGAGCAGGAGCGAAUCUAUAAAACCUAUCACAGUUCGGAUCGGAGUCUGCAACUCGACUCCGUGAAGCUGGAAUCGCUAGUAAUCGGAUAUCAGCCAUGAUCCGGUGAAUACGUUCCCGGGCCUUGUACACACCGCCCGUCACACCAUGGGAGCUGGUCAUACCCGACACCGUUAGCUUAACCGUAAGGAGGGCGACGUCUAAGGUAGGGCUAGUGACUGGGGUGAAGUCGUAACAAGGUAGCC